UCAACCAACCUACUCGACCACC
rnacentral:siRNA from 1 species